rnacentral:snoRNA from 1 species
GCCUGGUGGUUCCUUGAGUCAGCUAACAAGUGCUGAACUUUGGGUUUUUUGUUAACAGGCAAAUAUUGAUUCUGCGAUUUUAUGCAUGGAAGCUGCCACUUCAGCAGCCUUCCAUAGCCCGGUCGCAGAUACACUG